GACGAACGCUGGCGGCGUGCUUAACACAUGCAAGUCGAACGGAAAGGCCCUGCUUUUGUGGGGUGCUCGAGUGGCGAACGGGUGAGUAACACGUGAGUAACCUGCCCUUGACUUUGGGAUAACUUCAGGAAACUGGGGCUAAUACCGGAUAGGAGCUCCUGCUGCAUGGUGGGGGUUGGAAAGUUUCGGCGGUUGGGGAUGGACUCGCGGCUUAUCAGCUUGCUGGUGGGGUAGUGGCAUACCAAGGCUUUGACGGGUAGCCGGCCUGGGAGGGGGACCGGCCACAUUGCGACUGAGAUACGGCCCAGACUCCUACGGGAGGCAACGGUGGGGAAUAUUACACAAUGGGCGGAAGCCUGAUGCAGCAACGCCGCGUGCGGGAUGACGGCCUUCGGGUUGUAAACCGCUUUCGCCUGUGACGAAGCGUGAGUGACGGUAAUGGGUAAAGAAGCACCGGCUAACUACGUG
rnacentral:rRNA from 1 species